GCAUUAAUGGGGUAGUGGUAACCUGGGUCGUUGCCAUCGGGUAGUCGAAAUGCUCGACCCGCCGGGGGUUCGAUUCCCCCUUAAUGCA